rnacentral:rRNA from 1 species
AUUGAACGCUGGCGGCAGGCCUAACACAUGCAAGUCGAACGGUAACAGGAAGAAGCUUUCUUCUUUGCUGACGAGUGGCGGACGGGUGUGUAAUGUCUGGGAAACGGCCUGAUGGAGGGGGAUAAAUACGGGAAACGGUGGCUAAUACCGCAUAACGUCUCAAACCCAAAGAGUGGGACCUUCGGGUCCCUUUCCAUCGCAUAUGCCCAGAUGGGAUUAGCUUGUAGGUGGGGUAACGGCUCACCUAGGCGACGAUCACUAGCUGGUCUGAGAGGAUGACCAGCCACACUGGAACUGAGAAACGGUCCAGACUCCUACGGGAGGAAGCAGUGGGGAAUAUUGCACAAUGGGCGCAAGCCUGAUGCAGCCAUGCCGCGUGUAUGAAGAAGGCCUUCGGGUUGUAAAGUACUUUCAGCGGGGAGGAAGGGAGUAAAGUUAAUACCUUUGCUAAUUGACGUUACCUGCAGAAGAAGCACCGGCUAACUACGUG